UUACAUUCAGAUAUUAUGUUCUGCCUCGCCAUUAGGGGGUGCUAAGCUAUUAUUUAGACGAUUUAUUCAGGUAGAUAGUAUGAAGAAGUCAGCUUGUGUUUGGGAGAGGAAGCAAUGGUUUCCUCACGCUCGCAUUUCAGAAGCUGACGGUCCUAAGAUCGAGGAUUUGUUUCCCUGUGUCCAUCUUCGCAGGACAGGGAAGUACUCAUGGCUUUGGUUGUUACACCGGCAGGCUGCUCGACACCAUUGUUCAGAAGAUACUCAAUGACAUUUUACCCAAUAAUGGGCUCCUCUGCCACCCCAUCAUCACCAGAUACUAAUACAGGUACCUCCAAUUCCAGCGGUGUGGCUUUGUCUGUUUCCAGCUUAAAAGUCACUUUGACCCAGCUUUCAAACCGGAUGACUGUUUGAUUUACUGCUCGACUGGUGAGAUUUACAGGACCUAGGAUCUCUUCAAGGUUGGUACACAGUGGUGUGUGGGAAAUGUUCUUUUCUCCAUUUUUCAUUCAUUAGACAGACUUGGGAGCCAGUAUCCCAUAGUGCUUGCGUUGCCACACCAUCGAAGAAACAGUUCACCAUACAUUUCUCUCCAAUCAAAUUCAGCAACUGUGCAUUAUGUUUGGUGGAUAACUGAUUAGCACUUACUGAUCUGAUCAGCUGUAGGUAGCUUUCCUUCUGCUUCGCUGUUUCUCAGGCUUCCAACUGCUUAAUGCUGUCCUACAAGAGUACAUUUUGAUGUUUCGGCCACUGUGAUGAUGUUGUGUGAGCUGUUAUCGUCAUACUGUUAGCUGAGUUCCCUCUUUCUGUUCUUCCUGCAGGUGGUCCCCUACACCCUCUGGAUAGAUGCCCACUUUGCACACAUUUAAAACAGUGGUCACACUGGUCACCUCUACCAUGCUCCUGACACCCACGGCAUCCCCGUUUCCUUUCUCGGUGCUGUGUGGAACGGUCUACUCUAGGGGUUCUCCAUCUGGCUACUGCCACACACUGGACACCCAUCGCCUAGCUACAGAUGCAUCGGACAGGGAGUUCUCCCCGACCUGAGUCAGGCGGUGGGGGUAUGUGGCGAGGGGGUGCAGCGAAGUCUACAGCGAGAGAGAAAGUCAGGAGACUGGCGGUGAGUAAGUGCGUCAAGGGCAAAUUGACAAACACCUGUGUCUUAUUGCAGUAAUUGGCGUGGAGAGACCGGAUAAAGCCGCCAGGAACGAGAGGGAGAGAUGCUGCACGGAGGACUCAUGGUCCAGUGACUGAGAAAUGCUGUUGUGCUACGUGUUGUGAAUAUUCUGUGUUAGAGCUAGAAGCGCUGAGAGCGCGUGCUUUUUAAUAAAUACUGUUGAACUGUUAAUUGUUGAACUGAAUAAAUACCACGAGCCUCCGUAACUGACACUGCCUUCUUCCUUUCCACACACACACAUCUGAACAUUACCACAAUUAUAAAUCCCUAUUGACAUUUGUA